rnacentral:lncRNA from 10 species
UGAGUCGAGAUUUGCGCCACUGCACUCCAGCCUGGGCAACAAAGUGAGACUCUCUUAAUAAAAAAUAAAAAUAAAAUAAAGCUAGGAGACUGGAUUAAGAAACUCCAAGCUUCCUGUGGACUUCUCCCAUCAGCUUCCUUGUGUCCCAAGGCUGUCUGCUCACUUUGUUCUCUCUCUGGCAUCUCUUUUUCUGGCAAUUCUUCUUCCUAUUGUGAUGUACAUGCAGGAGUUUCUCCAGUGAACUGUCUUUGAUCCCUUUUCUCACUAAUCCUUUAUUGAAUUUUACUUAUAAUCUCUGAGGUGGACAUUGGAGCAUCACCCAGGCCCCUGCUUCAGCACUGAGGCUUUCCUCACCUCAGCUGCUGAGAAGGUUGGAGGAUGACAUCUCUAAGCUGAGUUCUUUCAGGAAAUUGCCCCCUGCAAAUACAGCCACCUCAGCCAAGGGAGUUGCUGCAUUCCGAAGUAGGACUGAAGGCGCUUGCCCUGGUCCCAGCUGUUUUCAUGGAGUUCCAAAUAUGUGCUGAACUUCCUGCCAGUGGAGGGGUAGGAGGUCAGAAGAGGAAGGGCCAACCACAUCCCAUGUCCAACACAAGCUUUAAAAGUCACACUGGGCCGGGCAUGGUGGCUCAUGCCUGUAAUCCUAGCACUUUGGGAAGCUGAGGCAGGCGGAUCAGGCAGACAAGUUCGGACAAGGCGGGCAGACAAGGUCAGGAGAUCGAGACCAUCCUGGCUAACACAGUGAAACCCCGUCUCUACUAAAAGUACAAAAAAUUAGCCGGGAGUGGUGGUGG